UACAGAGGUCUCAAGCGUUGUUCGGAUUCAUUGGGCGUAAAGGGUGCGUAGGCGGCGCGGUAAGUCGGGUGUGAAAUCUCGGAGCUUAACUCCGAAACUGCAUUCGAUACUGCCGUGCUUGAGGACUGGAGAGGAGACUGGAAUUUACGGUGUAGCGGUGAAAUGCGUAGAUAUCGUAAGGAAGACAGGUGGCGAAGGCGGGUCUCUGGACAGUUCCUGACGCUGAGGCACGAAGGCCAGGGGAGCAAACGGG
rnacentral:rRNA from 1 species